GUGAGGAAUUUUCCGCAAUGGGCGAUAGCCUGACGGAGCAAUGCCGCGUGAAGGAUGAAGGCCUAUGGGUUGUAAACUUCUUUUCUCAGAAAAGAAUUAUGACGGUAUCUGAGGAAUAAGCAUCGGCUAACUCUGUGCCAGCAGCCGCGGUAAGACAGAGGAUGCAAGCGUUAUCCGGAAUGAUUGGGCGUAAAGCGUCUGUAGGUUGUUUAAAAAGUAUUCUGUCAAAGAUUAGGGCUUAACCCUAGAUAGGCAGAAUAAACUUUUAAGCUAGAGUUUGGUAGAGGCAGAGGGAAUUCCCGGUGGAGCGGUGAAAUGCGUAGAUAUCGGGAGGAACACCAAAGGCGAAGGCACUCUGCUGGGCCAAUACUAACACUGAGAGACGAAAGCGAGGGGAGCAAAUGGGAUUAGAUACCCGGGUAGUCC
rnacentral:rRNA from 1 species